AACGAACGCUGGCGGCAUGCCUAACACAUGCAAGUCGAACGAGACCUUCGGGUCUAUUGGCGCACGGGUGCGUAACGCGUGGGAACCUGCCCUUAGGUUCGGUAUAACUCCCCGAAAGGGGUGCUAAUACCGGAUAAUGUCUUCGGACCAAAGAUUUAUCGCCUUUGGAUGGGCCCGCGUUGGAUUCGCUAGUUGGUAGGGUAAAAGCCUACCAAGGCGACGAUCCAUAGCUGGUCUGAGAGGAUGAUCAGCCACACUGGGACUGAGACACGGCCCAGACUCCUACGGGAGGCAGCAGUGGGGAAUAUUGGACAAUGGGCGAAAGCCUGAUCCAGCAAUGCCGCGUGAGUGAUGAAGGCCUUAGGGUUGUAAAGCUCUUUUACCCGGGAUGAUAAUGACAGUACCGGGAGAAUAAGCUCCGGCUAACUCCGUG
rnacentral:rRNA from 1 species